rnacentral:snRNA from 1 species
UCACGGGCAAGCCUCUGGCUC